AGGUUGAGAGGUAUGCUGAAUCGAUGUAUUGACAAGUAGAGAUGUUUGGGAAGUAUGACUAUGAGGAUUAAGUGAAUAGGGUGACAUGUUGUGUGCAUGUGUGUCUUAGGAGGGUAAGUUAUAAUCAAGGAUCUUUUUAUGUGUUUGAUGAAUCAGUGGUGGAUGUUAGAUUGAAGGGAAAAUAAUCUUCAUAAAAAGAGAUAUUUCUGGUUAUGAAGAUUUCUCUUAUGGAUAGGUUCAUAACAAUGUAGCCUUUUAUUCCUUGUUUGUAACCAAGAAAAAUGCACUUAAUAGCACGAGGAUUAAGUUUUUAGCGCCCUUGGACUAAAGGAGAGGUAAACAUAAGGCAUCCCAAAACCUUGAGGUUGUCAUACUCAGGAGGGGAACCAUGAAGAAGUUCAAAAGGAGAUUUGGAACUAAUUAUAGUAGAAGGCAACCUAUUAAUGAGAAACACUGCAUGACUGAUUGAAAAAUUCCAAAACAUCUUUGGUAGGUUGGACUAAAACAUGAUUACUCUGGCAACAUUCAUGAUAUGUUUGUGCUUUCUUUAUGCUACAACAUUUUGUUGAGGUGUCUCUAUGAAAUUCUUCUGAUGUAUGAUGCCUUUGUGGUUGAAAUAAUCAUUCAUUAAAAACUCUUUACAAUUGUCUGAUCUGACUUGUUUAACAAUAUUUCCAAAUUGAGUAUGAGCCAAUGUAGUGAAUUGCACAAUCAAGGUCCUAGCCUUAGAUUUGCUUUUCAUUAGAAAAACCUAAGUAUGUCUUGUGAAGUCAUCUAAAAUAGUUAAAAAAUAAGAGUGUACAUGGACACAUGAGGAUGUGAAUGAUCCCCAUAUAUCCAUGUGAAUUAGUUCAACAGCUGAGAUAGGUUUGAUUAUGCUCAAAGGGAAAUACAACUUAGUUUAUUUAGCAUAAUGGAAACAAUCACAAACGUAAUCAAAAUGACCAUGAACAUGAGGACAUCUUUGUUGAAUUGUUUUUAUUACAUUGUGUAAAGGGUGACCAAGUCUAUGAUACCAAAGACUAAAUUUACUAGAAACAUUGUGAUUACAAUUUAAAAGAUAUACAUUAGUGUGAUAUGAAAAAAGAAUGCAAGAAUCCUGACUAAGAAUGUACAAGUGAUUGUGAACUUUAGCAAGCCCAAUGAUCCUUAAUGAAGGUUGUUCCUGAAUAAUAUAAGAAUACUGAUCAAAUAUAAGGUUACAUUUGUUAUAAAAGGAUAGUUGAGAAGCAAAAAUGAAAUCGCAUGUAAAAUCAGGAACAAAAAGAACAUUGUAGAGGGUUAAGUGUUCAUUCAGUCUAACAAUUCCAUAUAUUUUAGACAAGAUGUGAGAGCUAUUAGGUAGUUUGAUGGUAAUGAGACUGAUAGAAUGAUAAGAGUAAAAAAUAUUGAGGGAAGAACAAAUGUGAUAUGUUGCACCUAUGUUAAUGAGCCAACUGUUGGUUAAUGAACUUACAUUAGUGUGUAUGGAAGAGUAAGGAAAACCCGAUGAUAAUGCAUGAAUGAUAUGAGAAUCAGAAGUAGGGGUGUCAAAAUGGAUGGAUUGGAUGGAUAUGGAUUGGAUCGUUAAUGGAUGGAUCAAAACAAUCAAUUAGUCCAUUAACAAUCCACUAAAAGUUUUUUAAAAAUAUUCAAUCCAAUCCAUCCAUUAAGAAUAAAAUCCAUCCAAUCCAUCCAUUAUCAUAUUUUUAGUGGAUGAAUAUCCAUCCAUCCAUUUUUUUCUUUGAUUUUUUUUAAUAAAAUAAUAUCAAUUUUUUUUUUUCAAAAAAAAAUAUAUUUUUGUAUUUUCAAAAAAAAUAAUUUAAAAAUCAUGUUUUUUUUUUGAAAAAAAAUAAUUUUUUUAUAUUCGUAAAAAAAAAUUCGAAAAUAAAAUAAAAUUUUGAUAUUUUUCAAAAAAAAUGAUUUUUAAAUUUUUGAAAAAAAUCGAUUUUUUGUAUUUUAAAAAAAUUUUGAUUUUUUUUCGAAAAAAAAAAUAUUUUUUAUUUUUCAAAAAUUAUUUUUUUGAUAUUUGGAAAAGUUUAUUUUUUUAAAAAUUAGAUAAAAAAAUCCAUUGGAUCAUUAAAAUGUGUUGGAUGGAUUGGAUAAUCCAUGUUUAUAAAUAGAUGGAUUUAAUUCAAUCCAUUAACUUAAUUUUUAUGUAGUGGAUGAAUUGAAUGGAUUUUUUGAUGGAUGGAUUGGAUGAAUUUUGUCUUGAUGGAUCCAAUUGCCACCCCUAAUCAGAAGUGGUUGAAUCCUCAUUUUCGCUGAGCAACGCUACCAAUUUGUAUACAUGUCAUGACUGAUUUCAACUUUGCUAUCUUGGUGAUCAGAAUUAAUGGAUGAUGAAUGAUGAUGCUCAUCCCAGGUAUCAACAUUCUUGGAAAAACCUAUCUUAUCUUUGAACCUAAAGCCCGGUGGAAAACCAUGUUUUAAAUAACAUGUAUCAAGAAUCUGACCAAUUUUGCCACAAAAUGAGCAGACUUUGGAAUUGGUUGAACCUCUGCCUUGAAAAUUUGGCUUGACACGUCCUUUGCUUUGUUUCGACUGAAAUCUUGCAUUAGGUGAAGAAUUAUGUGUGUGUGCUAAGAUAAUCUUGGAAUUUUCAGAAGCAAAUGGAGUGGUUAGCUGUCUUUCUUAUUACAAGAUUGACGAGAAAACCUUUGUAACAUUCAGGAAGGGCUCCACCAUAAGGAUAUGAGAUUUCACAUUGUUGAAAUUGUCAUUAAAUCCUUUUAAGAAGCAUAUGACAUAUUCCAUAUCUUGCUACUUUUUGAUUGUGAGGUGUACACCACAAGUGAAAUUUAGAAGAAUUCUAAGAGCUUCUAGGUCUUCCUAAAGGGAUUUUAACUCAUCGAAGUAUGCAGUCACAAAUUUCUCACCUUGUCUCAUGGAGUGAAUUUGCUAAAGCCGAUCAAAUAAUCGAUGGAAAAAUGACUGUGAAAAUCUGUCCAUAGUUGAACAGUAUUAUCAAAAUAAAUGGUGCUUUGUGCAAUAUUAGGAGAUAAAGAUGCUGAAAUCCAUGAAAGAAUAAUGUUGUUGCACCUUUCCCGUAUCAAAGAGAGCAUCAUCUUCUUGUGGUGUUGUAAGUUUGCCUUUGAUAAAUUGAAUCUUGUUUUUGAUAAAGAGUGCAUGUUUCAUCAAACGACUCCAAGAUUCAUAGUUGCUUUCCGUUAGAGGGGGAGAAACAAGAACUGCACCAAGAUUUUAGUCAGGGUGAAGAUAAUAGGGACUUGAUUGAUCAAGAGCCGAGUUCUUGUUUGUUUGAUUGUUGUUUUGCCGAUUUUUGCAAUUGUUGAUUGUGUGGUUGUUAACUUUGUUAUGUUGUGGAUAAAUCUUCACGAUCAGGCACAUCGGUAAAAAUAUGAAUGAAGCUCAAGAUGUAAGGUGUAGGAAGCAGUGAAAAGGAAGAAGAAGAAAAUAAAUCUUCUAAAUAUUCACACUACUUAUACCAUAAUAGAAAUUAUGAAAAAUUGGGAAUUACAUAAUGAGCUUUUUGCUCCACUUGCAUUGAUAAAGUUCUUAUAUAUACAAGAGAUAACUUGUAACUCAAGCAACUAACAAAGUAUAACUAACUAAUAACUAUAAAAGCAAUUAUGUGUAAAAACAUUGAUGUAUUACAAAUAGAAUAUGACCGAACAUAAAGGGAAGGUAAGUAGAUUAAUUACUAUCCGUUAUUGGCAAUGAUGAAAACAACCAAAUGAAUUCAUUAACUGUGAGACAAAUGAAUGGUCUUUAUUGACACAACUACGUUUAGAAGAUUUCAAAAUUUCAUUAGUAUCCAAUAUAAAAAAUAUUCUUUCACCAAAAAAUAAAAUAAAAUAAAAGACAUUCAUUCCUAUCAACCAAAAAAAUACUUUAACUUAAUUUUAUUAAAUAUACAAUUUUUUAAAAAUUCAAUAAUCUAUUAUUUUCAUUAUAUAGAGUGUGUGUUUGGAUGAAAUAAUUAAGAAUUUUUAGAAAACUUAUAACCUCAAUUGACGAAAUCCAAAUUCUCAUAUAGAACAAUCAUAAAAUGGUAUUGGUGUCACUUUUAUUAAUACUCCUGAUUUUUUUCUUCAAAUUUUAUUUUAAAAAAUAAAUAUUUAAAAUAAAAUUAGCUCCAUAGAAACGCUUUAAUACGUUUCGCGCGUUUUUCAUUUCGAAUCCGAAGGAAAUGGCAGAGGGUGAAACUACCGCCGCAAAAGAUGAAUCUAUGAAAUUAGCGAUAGCGAUUUCACUUCUCCGAUCGAAGUUUAUGAAAAACUCUAAACAGUGUAAUGCAAUUUCUCCCUCUCAAUCAGAAACUCUUCUCCGUUGGAAACGAAAGGUUUAAAACUACGCUCGCUUCUUUUCUUCUGAAAUUCAAUUCGUUUUUUCCCUUCCGAUCAUCGUUAUUUCAUGUUUUGAAUCUCAGGCUAAGGAAAGGAAGCAAGAGAUUCUACGGCUCAGAGAAGAUCUGAAAGAAUCUCAAGGUUCAUCGCUGAUUCAAUCUCUUAUAUUAUAAACGAAUAUUCGCAAUGGUGCUAUGAUUUUGAGUUUUUUUUUUUUUUGAUUCAGAUGCUUCGCAUUGUGAUCUCUUUCCUGAGAAUGCUUCUUGCAAGUGCUAUUUCUUCGAUAAUUUAGGGGAAUUAAGUCCUAAGCAUCAUGUAAGUGAUUCGUUUAACCGAUUCAAUGACGUACUUCGCCGUAGAUUUCUAAGACAAGGUAUCCUUAUCGAUUUAUUGCGACGUUGUUAUUAUUCUUAGUUUUUGUGGCGUCAUGCUUUUGAAUCUCCUAUUGACGUUGAAAAUUUGGUUUAUGUAGUGAGAUUUAAGGAAAGGAGGAGAAGAAUUGGUUCUUCAUCUUCUUCGAGUCAACAACGGCUUUGUUUAGGUAUAUUUGGUAAUCGCAUUUUCAGUCAUAACUGAAUUUUAAUACUCAGUGUUUGUCUCUGUAUAUUUCAUGAUUUGUAACUAGAAUGACGGUCUUCUGUUUAGAUUAAGGUAAAGCUUUAUGCAUGUUACGUUAUUACACUUUUCGGAAGAAUAAACAAUCAAUUUGAAUGCUAUGAAGCACGGACACAAACACGGAUGCAGGCAUUGACAUUGACACCUUGACACCAAUAAUAAUUUGAAAAAAAAUGGAUAAGUUGAAUGUAAUCACAAGUGUGAGUGUUGAUGUCCGUUUUUUUUAAAGUGUAUGUAGCUGGCACCUUGCAAUAUUUGAUUGUCAUUCUUCAUCAUUUUCAUCUUCAAAUAAGUUUUUUCACUAGUUAGUUUGAUAAUCUGAUGUGUAAUAUGUUAGUUCGUUUAUUUGGUCUAUAAAAUUACUAACUUAAGUUACUGAGAGAUAUUUUUGUAAUUUCAAUAUUUUGAAGGGCCUAGUGAGACCACGUCACACAUUUAGCCACUAAAAUAGCUAUUUACCCUUUUUAGGAAUUUAAAAGUGAUUGUAGUUGCACUAAAUCUGUUUUCUAAUUUGCAACUAAAACUGCAGGUUUAGCUGAGGAGGAGGAUACAGAGCAGUUGAAAGCAUCUGUUGAUUUUCUUGUGGAGCUGUGUGAGACUGUAUUACCUGUCAAUGUGCUUCACUACUUAGUAGCAUUUUUGUUUAACCAAUUUGUUAUCCAAAUAUUGCAUUGAAUAUAAACAUUUCGUUUUUUAUGUGCUAAAAUUUUUAAUUUUAUUUCAUAAGGGCAUUCAUUGUAUUUUGCAGGUGGAUGAUUCCAAGUUUGCAAACAUGGCACACCAAGCCGUUGAUUUUAUAUUGGGUAUUAUGCUCUUCUAACUGAUUGAAGAGCUUUUCCUAGUUUUUUCCCCUCAAAUUAAAUGUUGCAUUCACAUGCUUUCUAAUUUGAAAAUCUGACACUUCAAGCUGUAUACUUAUAUUUAGUAUACUACUCUUUUCACUAGUUGAAGACCUUUCACAACUUCUUUCAAUCUAAUAAUCGGAAUUUGGAACCAUAUACCUUUUUUGUCCUGCUAUUUCUAUUCUAACUUUUUUUGGAAUCAUUAUCAAUUCUUCUUAAUUAGCAAUAACUUCGUUCCAUCCAUUCAUGUAUUCUACUUAGGCUUUGUGACAUGAGUGGUGUACUUACUACUUAGGAAUUUUAUAGUUGCUUACUUACACUCAUGCAGUUAUUGAGAAUUUCAUUGAUCUGCUGAAGAAAAUCCCUGUGGGAAAUUAUCUGUGUUCUAGUGUUGGAUAAGUUAAUGAUUUACUCUCUUUUUGAGUAAAGCCUAGGACUACCCUACAAAUUUAGCGGGUGCGUCUCCUUGUGGUGGUGGAUAUGCAAAGGGAAUGUGCUCUCUUUGCACAUCCAAUGCUCUUGCCAAUACAGCUGUUAACUCUAGUCAAUUAGUUAUUAAUUGUUUAUGGCUGUGGGCUUAUAUGCAAUAUAAGGUAAAUGUAAUACAAGUUCCUUGCUCUACAUUCUUCACAUCAAGUGGUAACUUACUAGAGAUUAACUUCAAAAUUUACUUCUUAAACUCUACUUUGUUUUCUUUGAUUUUUAUGCUCUUAUUAUGGACUACUAGUAUAUGCAUUGCUCAUGAAACCUGCAGCCAUAUUCUUUUUCUCCCACACUGAAUUGUUGUAUAUCUUUUCUGAAGUUUCAUUGAAGACUCUUCUGUCAACGGGAAGGAACCUGGAACUUGUUGAACGAAUUAUCAACAGCCUAGUUACACGUUUGACGAUGAAGAUGUGCCCGUACUCGUCAGAAAACGGUAUUACUAAUUUGAGCUUAAUGACAAUAAAUGAAAUUUUCUUACAUUGUUAUGUAAUACAAAACCAUAAACCAGUGUAGAAAUGUCUAGUUUCUGAACUUUAUUCUGCAGCUUAACCAUUAAAUAUUAUUUUCAUUUCCCAUAUAUUCUUAUUACUAAAUGGGCUUUUUGUACUCUUUCUUUUCCAAAAUUCUAUCUCCUAGGAUCUCAACACAGUGGCACCGAUGCACAGUUAUGUAUUCAGCAUUUGGUCCGUAAACUUGGCAGUGAGCCCUAUAUUGGCCAACGGGCUAUACUUUCAGUUUGUCAAAGAAUUUUGGUGCUAGCAGAACGUUUGCUUUUCUCUGAUCCUUUUGAUGACACUUUUGCUAACAUGCACGAAUGUAUGUUCAUCAUGUAAGUUCUUUACUAAUACACAUUACUAUGAUCUCCAAAUUUAAAUAUCACAAUAAUAUGACAAUUUAGGUUUUGUCCAAAACAGUAAAUAUUUUGAAGACAAUCUUAUUUUUAUUUGUGGGAGUCAGGAUCCAGCUUAUUGAGUUCUUGGUGGGAGAUUACUUGUUAGAGUGGUCAAAAGCUGAAGAUUUUGACACCAGUAUGCUCAUAUUUCCACCGAUUUAUAUUUUUUGUUCUACACCAAUUCUUACUCAACUUUUCUAAUUUUCUGUUAUCUUAGAGCCUUGAUUUCUUUGACUGGUAGCAAAUAAAAGCCUGCCUCAUUCAACACUUUAAUUUCUCAGUUAUUAAAAUCUCCUUCAAUUUGUUUGCCAACAAAAUAUUGUUGUUAAUUGACUGUCAAUAUUAUUGCAGUGCUCCUUGAAGAUUGGAUGACGUCAAUUAUUCAGGCAAGAAAAGCAUUAGAACUUCUGGAAAGCAGAAAUGGACUAUACGCCCUUUAUAUGGACCGUGUCACAGGUGAGUUGGCGAAACAUAUGAGUGGAGUCUCAUUGCUUCAGAAGGUUAAACCGGAUAUGUUUAAUCGCUUGUUUCACUAAACAUUGAUAUAAGGAAAAAAAUGGUAUAUACGGAAACUAGGAAGCCCAACUUUCUUUCUUCAUUCCACUUUGUCCUAUAAACUCAUUUUACUCCUAUCUUCUCAAGUCUUAAUACCAACAUGCAGAGAUGUCAAUUCCCAAGUUUACUUUAUUUCAAUGGAUUCAAUUCUCAAUACAAAGUGCUCUGUUAUCUCUACAUUUGUAGUGUGAACUUUAGAAAAGCUAAAGAUGACUAAAUUGUGAAGUUCAUCAUUUGCAUACCUCUUAUUGUCUAUAACAUACUGUAAUCAUUUAGCCAAGCUGGUAACAUGUUCAUUUUGUUUAUGGAUCCUAACAGACACGGUGCAUACUUGGGGCUUUUAUAAUCCAAUUUCUUCCUAUGAAUGUAAGGCACAUGUGCACAUACUAUGCACCUAAAUAAUCCGACUUACCGCUGUGUUUCCACUCGAAGCUUCCUCAUGGGUAACAAUGUUUACUGCAAAAGUGGAACUUCAAUUCGUUACUCAUUUUGCACAAUACCUCUGUCAAGAAAGUUAUAAGAAUUUCAUUUUCAAAUGACAUUCUACUUAACAUGUUUAUCAUUGUAUUAUUUUCUCUUUUUAUUAGCGACUUUUUUGGUUAUUCUUAAAUUGUUGAAUAAAAAAAAAACAAGUUCUUGAAUGAACAAAAAACCAAUUUACUCAUAACAGUUUGUUGAAUGAAAACAAAAACCAAAUGUCUAUUUUUUUUGAUUUUUUUAAAAAUGAUUUUUAUAGAGUAAUAUAGGGUUGGUUUAUUUUAACUUUAAAAAAUAGAUUUUUUCUUUGUAUUUUUGAAAAUAAAUUCUACAAAUAUAUUUUUUUAAAAUAAAUUUUACAAAAAUGUCUUUUAAAAUAUUAUAAAUUUUUUUAAAUUUAUUUUUUAUAAAUCAAAAAAUUAAUUUUGAUAUUCCAUAACAUAAACAUAUAUUAUUGGAAUCAAAACAUAGCAAAAUCAUAACUUUUUAAAAAAAUUGUUUUUAAAAAAUAAUUUUUAUAAAAAGUUAUUUGAGAUAGCUUUAAAAUUAAUUGAUUUUUUUGAAGUUUUGAUAUCCAAUUUUUUUUUUAUAAAAUGAUAAAAUACCUAAAAUAGUAUUUUAAGAAUAACCAUCCAAAACAAAAUUUCAUUUGAGAUUUUUAUGAAAAAUUUCUUUUUUUACACUAAAAUAUGCAACACUAUAAAAAUCAUAAAAAAAAAAGCCAAAACAAACCGGUCUUAUGGACCCAUUCGUUUUAGCUUUAAAAAAAUAAUUUAUUUUUUGUGUUUUUAAAAAUGGAUUUUAUAAAAUCAUUUUUUAAAAUAUUAUAAAUUUUUUUUUUUUCUAAAUUGAAUGAUUAAUUUUAAUAUAUUAUUGAAGAUUAAAACAAAAUUAAAGUCGUAUUUCAAAAAAUUAUAUUUUUUAAAAUAUUUUAAAAAAACUAUUUGAAAUAGUUUCAAAAUUAAUUUAUUUUUUAAAAUUUUGAUAUUUAAAUAAUGUUUCAAUAAAUGAUGAAAUAUCUAAAAUUAUAGUUUAAUAAUAACUAUUCAAAUUAAAUAUUUAUUUAAACUUUUAUGAAAAAUUUCUUUGUAAAAUUUUUACACAAAAUAUGUUACACUAUAAAAAUUAUUUUAUUUUAAAAUUAUUUUAAAUUUUUUUUUAAAAAAUAUUUUUGAAAUAUAACUUUUUUAAAAACUUGCGAUUUUGACUGUAUUUUAAUAUUCAAUAAUAUAUAUUUAAGUUAUAUAAUAUUAAAAUAUAUUUCAUUUUAGAAAAAAUAAAAAACUUCUAAUAUUUUAAAAAAUAAUUUUAUAAAAUCUAAUUCAAAAAAUAAAAAAAAGUAUAUUAUUUUUAAAAUUGAAACGCCAUAAAUUUGCUCUUCUUAAAUUAAAGUUGCAAAGCUCUUCUUAGAUAGAACUUUUUUUAGUAAAAGAACAGAAUUGUUUGCUUUGUGCUUGUCACAAGGUUUCUGCACUAGUUGAUAUGGGCACCCAUGUAAGAUAGUUCUCAUUCUAUUCUUUUAUUAUAAGUUAUUUUAGAAAAAAAAAUUAUACCAUAAUAUAAGUCAUUUUAUAUUAUCAUGAUAUUAUACUCUUAAAAUAUAUUAUUCUUCCUCUUUUCAAUUAUGUAAAUUUAUCUUUUUCAUAUUAUUAUGAAGAAUAAUUUUAUAAAAAUAUUCAUAAUUUUUUAUUUUAAUACAACAAUAAUUAUUCUUCUUAGUAUGUGUGAAAAAUAAAAAACGACUUAUAAUAAAAAACAGAGGUAGUAACAUUUUUCUUUUCUUCUGUCAUGUACUUUCAAUCAUAAAAGCACGUUUUUUCCACUAAUUAAUCUGAGUCAGGGUAUACUCCGUUUAGUGAGUGUUCCAUUUAGUUCAUUUGAUAUUAUAUAUGUAAAACAUUUGGCAAAAAUAGAUUCAGCGGUUCAAAUCUCUCGUUGUUGUCCUCCAUUGAGUCUAUAGAUUUUUGGAUAAGAUAUUUGUUAAAGUGACCAACUUUUAGCUCGUUAUGAAAAAUUCCUACGAACUUCUUUUGGUUGGGGUUUAUCACUAUGAUGGUGACCUCAUUGAAUCACAUCAGGUAUUCUUGCAAGGACUUGGAAUGUCCUUGACCUAUUUUGAAUAAGAAGUCUUUGGCCUAUUUUGAAUAAGUUUGUAAUGGACAUGCUAAAAACUAAUACACCAACUUUAUACAAAGGUCUUUAUAGCUCUCUGGUCACAAAGAACCUAGGGAGGUUCAUGUACCAAUGCAAGACCAUCUCCUUAAGUGUUAUGGAAUGUAGUUUGCACUUAAGAGAGUCAAAAGCUCAUAUUAUUGUCAUUUGUGUAUUAAUUAGAGUAAUGUGUUCCGAAGGAUUGCUCUUUCCCUCAAACUUAAUUAAUGAUGACGACUUAAAGUUAGCUGAAACUAGAGUGCUCUAGAAUUUGGGAGAAAGAAGUUGGGGAUCCAACACCUAUAUGCCCACCUAUACACAUUCAUCUCAUUUUUGUUAUUGGAUGUCCUAAACGUUACCUUGCACAGUUUGAUUCUAGAAAUACGACUCCUCAGUAGGGUCUCUUGGUCACCGUUACUAGAUGCAACCUUAGUGGACGUCAUCAUGAGAUGACGACUAAGUUAACCAAGGAUCUUUUUUAUAGGAUUGUGGUCUAGACCAAUUUUAUUGGACCCCACAGUGGGCACCAACUAUACUUACGGUGAGUACAAUAGAGAUGAUCCUACUUGAGAUAAACCAAGUGAAGACCUUUAAGUUUCUAUUAUGUCAAUAAACACAACCACAUAGAGUCUGACUUGAACCAUCAUAGAGCGCCGUGGGUGACUUAUCCCUUAAAUAUAAGAGAUAUGAGUUUAAUUAACGAAACUUAAAACUGUUCGGUCCCCCUAAGGAUGAUUCAGUUGGUUGUGAAAACUUGUUUGGUCAGUCAUUCUCGAAUAUGUAGGAGAACAAGACGAGGUCGCUCUCAUAUCUUGCACAUGUUUGACCUCGCUUGUCAUCCUUGUAGUCCUCUAUCUCAUUUGCGAUAUAUAAAGAUAAUCGUACCUAAAUAAGCUCGAGUUAUAGUAUGAAUGUCCAUUAAUAAUUGCAUAAUUUUAAUGGUAUGACUUUGUUUUAGGGGUUUCUUUUUCCAUCUGUAGGGGUGCUCCCCCACUCCUAUAAAAAGUCAUAACUGUCCCUAACGUCUGAAAAUGUAUCUUCGAAUGUACAUCUUUUACAUACAUUUUAGCACCUCAUAAAUGAGAAACCCUUAUUUCAUUUAAAAAAUUUCUUCAGAAAUGCAUCUCUGAAUUUUGAAGAUGCACAUCCAAAAAGAUGUUAUUUUGCAUUGAUAUGAUUUUGUUAUAUUAAAUCAAUUUAGUUAUGUAAUUGCUUUUAUAUAUUGAGAACACCUACCAUACACCUUAAGCCAUUCACUUAUGCAUCUAACUUGAACUUUAUUUUGUUGAAGUCUUCUAUUUUAGCAAUGGCAGAUGAGGUGAUCCAGUUAAAUUUUUGGCCAAGUCAAGUCAUUAUGACAUGAGGGUCCAAAUUGCAUUUGAUAAAAAACUAUCAAGUAUGAGAACAAAGAAGAGUUUUUUAAUUUUCCUAACAACUUUUAUCUUUCACACCCGAUGGUUAGCGAUGCAGAUAACAUUGGUGCAUAAUAUUGGCUUAAAGUUCUUUACUACUAUUGAUUCAUCAAUAGGAAUUCAUUAAUAGAAAUGAUGUGCAUCUUCGAAAUUUAAAUAUGAAACAAUUUUUUGUCCGAAGAUAUAUCUUCAGAUACAGAAAGACAUUUUCAAAGUUUCAAGGAUGUGGAACGCACCCUUAAUCGUGGAAAGAUUAUUCCCCUUGUUUUAAUGACAAUCAUACUCGUGGGCGAUUGAAUGAGAAAAUUAUUUAUUAAAAACUGAAAAUAUAAAUUUUUUAAAUUAAGAAAUUAAAACUAAUUCAUUAAAAAAAGGAACAAACCAAAAAGAUAAGCAACUUGAUUUGCCUUGAUCAAAGAAAAAUACCUUCAUUUCUCUUAAACUUCACAACUGACUAUAAUAAAUCAUAUAAAACCUUCAUUUCUCUUAAAAAAUUUCAACUAAAUAUUCAAUGUAACUUAGAAAUAUAAAAGUCUAAACCCAAAAAAAGUAGUAAAAUGAUUACAACCUUUUGUAAUUGAAGAUGAUUACAUCUUUAUUCAUAAGCCUUACAAGUUACAUGACUUAAAUUCUCAUCUCAAAGUUACAAGCAAAUGUCCCAAUUAAACGAGCUAAGGUUAAACUUCUCAUCUCGAAGUCAUCUUAAAGCUAGGGGACAGUCUAAAAGAUCUCUUCACCAUUGUUCUCAACUCACAAGUUUAACUGAAAGAAUACCAUAAACCAAAUUCCAUAAGAUAUCACAAUGACAAAAAGCAUCAGCAAGUGUCUCCAUUUCAUAAAAGAAUCCAUUGGACAAGGUGUAGAAGCAACCCUUCACUGUACUCUAUAUCAUUAAGGAAUAUACUUUUCACAUUAAUUUUGGUACCUUGUUUCUUUUGAAUGCCAACUACAUGAAUGUUCAUAUUAACUGGUUUCAAUCACCUUGGUAUCCACUUGCUAGACCUGUCUUAAAGUGCUAAAUCAAAAUCUUUACCUUGUGUUAACAACCUGCUUUUGAUUUGUACUAUUUAACACACUACCCGCAUGCUCUUAGCUUGUAUUUUAACUAUAAAUAAGAACUGCAUUUAUAAACUUACCUCUUCAUUCCGUUUCCAUAAUGUGUAUAAAUAAUGCAAACAAUGUAUGUCUUCUUGACAUAGUCUUUAAAUCUAAGGUUACCGAACUCGAGAGUCGAUGCAAACUUAAGGAGUUUUUGUAGGCUUGACUCGUAGAAUUGCAAUAACGUUGUAAACAUCUACCACAGCAGCAUGACACAAUUUAAAACCAUAUGCAUAGUAAGGUAUUCAAAAUUCUGACUUAGUGAUAAACCAAACUACAAUAACAAUAAUGCACAAGCAAUAAAUUCAAUUGAAACGGAUUCAUAGCUCAAGGCCAAACCAAAGCAUACCAGACAAUAAUGCACAAGCAUAGCAUCACAGUUCAAAUAUGAUGGACAGAAUCUUCAUCAUCUGUGGAGUUGAGUGCUACAAGUGACAAAUGUUGCAUUUUUGUUUUGUUUUUUUGCUUAACAUAUAGAAGGACCUACCUACUACAUCAUUUUAAGCAUAUGUGGAGACAAUAACCACUAUAUCAUAGACUCAUUCAAUCAUUUUAGAAUUCGCUUUUCUAUGAAUCUACCUGAGUUUAAUGUUUAAGUUAUCUUUGGAGUUUGACAGUCAUGCUUUUUAGUGUUUAGAUACAUUACUGUAUCUACCAAGGAAUCACACAAAGCUGGCUAACAAUCUAAAUAAAAAAGUCACCCAAUCUUAAACUUCAGAAUCACAACUCACCUCAAUGAUACCAGCAAAUAAUUCAACAACUACACAUUCAUGACAACCAACUUAAGUUCUAGCAGUAGAAAAAUUCCAAUAACACUAUAUGCAUAUAUGUCACAACAAGAGAGUUUCUCUGAGCAAGAAAGAUACAAAAAAAGCAAAACAUGAAUUUUAAGAACAUAAUACAAAUUGUAAUGAUAGAUUGCACGCGAGAACAUAUAAGUAGUAAUCCAACAGCCAAAGCAAAGAGAAAUAAUCAAAAUAUUAUUAGGUAAAUCCAUUAUGGGGACCUGAUACAAUUAUCUUCUAUACAUACACAUUACAUACAGAUACAAGGAAAACAUACAACAUAGAAUAGGAAUUACGAAGACAAAGAUUAUAACUUCUAUAAGAUAUAAUUGUCUGGACCAAUAACUGAAGAAACUCAAUGAAGACCUGCACAGAUCAGUAGAAAGAAGAUGGGUUGAUGGACUCACAGUUUACAUCUUGGAUAUUCUUCUUAUCAAUGGUCAGAUUCGGAAAACAUCUGUUUGAAAUCUCUCAUCAUAUAGUUCCCAAUGUCCAUAUCUUUCAGUGUGAUAGACAGAUCUUGGAAUGUAGAAAUUUGGUUUCUUAAUGUCUUUCAAGCGUGACAAACUUGACGAUGCAUUUACAAUGUCUCGGCUAGUUAAGUUAGCGCAGCCAGACAAAUCCAAGUAUUCAAGGUUAGGACACCCCUGACAUAUUGACUUCAGACCUUUUGCCGUUAACUUGGAGAACCUAAUCUCUAGCCACUCUAGAUGAGGCAUAUAAUUAGCAAUAGCAGCAGCUUCAGAAUCUCCAUCUUGCGGACAAGCAUCUAGGUAAUCAUCGGGAACAAUCCCAACGUGUUGGGAAGGAUCAAGCCAAUUCAUGAGAUUUCUCUUGAGAACCUUAAGGUUAGAGCAAUUUCUUCCAAUCAACACCAAUGACUCAUGAGUUAUCUCAUAACAAUAGCUGAUGUCCAGUUCCCUUAAAUUUGGGCACCCAGUCGCAAUCUUAGAGAUUGAAUCAUCAGUAACACGAGGGCAGCUUCUGACUGACAACACCUCAAGAUUUGGACAUCUGAAAUGCAGUUGAAUUGUGUUCCAACAAAAAAAAGCAAAACAAAGAAACCCGUGGUUUGAGAACAUACAUACAUACAUAACAUACAUAAAGGCUAUACACCCCCAAAUGUUGUAUUCGCGCUUGAAAGCAGAAAACAUUUUACAGGCUUAUUUUUUGUUUGGUUCUGCAGUAGAAAAAACCGAUUUUGAAUAAGUUAGUUUAAGCGAAUGUUUGGUUUUGGGGUGAAAAAAUUUGAUUUUGAAUAAAUUGAUUAUGUAAAAUUGAUUUUGAUUAAAAGUGAGUUGAAUGUAAAUUAAUUUAUGCUAAAUUGAGUUGGUCAGUAAGUUUCAAAUUUCAAUGUAAAAAUCAUUUUUAAACUCAAAAGCUACAACUUCUAACUUCAAGUAGAAUUAAUUCUGAAGGCAAAGUCAAUCCUACUUUAGAAGAACCAAAGGCCUCAAAAUCAUUCAAAAAUCAAUUCUACCCCUCUAGAAUUGCUUUCGGCUCUUCCAAAUGUUAAACCAAACAUACUCUAAAAAAUUGAUUUUGAAUAAGUCAAUUUUGUAAAAUUGAUUAUGGCUAAAAGUUAACUGAAAGCAAAGUAAUUUAAUUUGGUAAAAUUCAUGUAAAGGUGUCUUGAACAAUAAUUUGGAGCCUAAAAAUCGUUCGUAAAGACAAUAGCUAUAAAUUUCAACUUAGAGUUCAAAGUCAAAAUCAAUUUUAAACUUCUGGAAUCAAUUUUUCCUCCUUGAUGUUAAAAAGAUAAACAGUUUGGGCAAUUUCAGAAUGAAAACCUAAUAAUUGCAUAACCAAUUUCCAAAUUGAAAUUACCGAACCUAGAUUGUACCUUAGGGCAACAAGAUUGAGAGGGCGAUCAGAGCAGUGUCGAACGCGAAUCUGGGUGAGGAAUUGACGAGUCGAUUGAACGAUAGAUAGAAGCAUGGAAUCGAUUUUGGACUCGAAUUGUAGGGUCCACCAGCGAGGUGACUCGGAUGGCGAGUCGAAGUAAGGUUCGAGGUUGAAUACAGAGUGAAGAGAGGGUUCCUGGAAAGCGUUGAACCAUGGUUUGCAAACAAGCAUCGCACCGCGCCAUUGAUCCUCGGCGGUGAGUCGAGAG
rnacentral:lncRNA from 1 species